CUACACCCCACUGUCCCUAACCCACAUACUCUCUUGAGUUUGCUGUCUCCUAAACAGCAAACUAAAUAUAUACUGUGCUAGAUUUAAAGGAUGCAUUUUUCAGUCUGCCUCUUGCCCCAGCUAGCCAGCCCAUCUUCGCCUUCAAACAGAUCGGCCCGGCUUCCAAUGAUUCCUGUCAACUCACCUGGACCUGGCUGCUUCAAGGAUUCAAAAACAUACCCACUCUGUUUGGUGAGGCCUUCCAAAAAGACUUGCUGUGCAGGUGGUGGCAGUUGGCACAUGAGCAGACCAGAGUAUGAGACAAGAGAUGAGACCAAAAUAUGAGACAAGUUGCAUAUUCAGGGAUCGAACUCGGGACCUUGCGCUUGGGAGGCAGGCAGCAGAACCACUGAACUAAAUCUCCGGCCUGCAAUCUGGUUUUUAUGGGUUAUUUAAAAAUUAAAGUAAUUAAAUGAAGACUUUUAUGUUUGAGGAGACUGCUAAAUGGGACUCCCCUUAGUGAAUAAAGAAGAAACUGCCCAGAAAACAGGUACAUUUAUAAGCCCAUACCUUUUCCUUAGAUGGAAUCUGUUAGACCCAGGGAGAAAGAACCAACCAGAGACUGAUAUUAAAUCCACACAGGAGUUUAUUACUGGCCAGGACCCGAGUUGAGCAUCAGAUUUGAGCCCUGACUGGGGGGAGACUAACAUGUUUUAUACACCUUUGAGGCCAACAGUUUCUAGGCCCCCCUAUGGGAUAGAACUAGCAA